UACAGAGGGUGCAAGCGUUGUUCGGAAUUAUUGGGCGUAAAGGGUGCGUAGGCGGUGCGGUAAGUCUGUAGUGAAAUCUCUGGGCUCAACUCAGAGUCUGCUAUAGAAACUGCCGUGCUCGAGUGUGGGAGAGGUGAGUGGAAUUCCCGGUGUAGCGGUGAAAUGCGUAGAUAUCAGGAGGAACACCUGUGGCGAAAGCGGCGCACUGGACCACAACUGACGCUGAGGCGCGAAAGCUAGGGGAGCAAACAGG
rnacentral:rRNA from 1 species